rnacentral:lncRNA from 1 species
AGUUAUCAAAGAAGAAAGAGAAGGGAUUGAAAGAAGAAAAUAAAGAAAGAAUUAUGAGAAGGAAAGGNAUAUUACUUGUGUAGAUGUUUAGUUUUCCUUUCUUUCACUAAUGGCUACUGUUUACCUUCGUGUAAGCUGUUUGUGCAUGUUUCCGCUAGUGCAUUUCAAUUCUCUUGAAAUUGUACACGUGAUGAGCCUUGGGCGGAUAGGGGAAACUCUGUCCGUCCGGCGUCUGUUUAACGUGCUCGGGUCGGGCCAAAUUAGUAUCGGUCCCGGGGCGUGACAUUGCCGAAGCCAGAUUUUCUCCCGAUUUCCUACUAAGUGCAUCGGCCACGACAUUCGCCUUCCUGGGUUGGUAUAGAAUGGUAACAUUAUAGUCUUUCAACAAUUCCAACCACCGCCGCUGUCGCAUAUUUAGCUCAUUUUUGGUGAACAGGUACUUAAGGCUUUUGUGAUCCGUAUAGACCUCACAAUGUUCCCCGUAUAAGUAAUGCCUCCAUAGCUUUAGUGCGAAAAUAACCGCUGCUAGCUCGAGAUCAUGAAUCGGGUAGUUCUUCUCAUAUGUCUUCAAUUGGCGUGAAGCAUAAGCUAUAAUCCGCCCGUUUUGCAUCAAGACACACCCGAGUCCUACGUAGGAAGCAUCACUAUAUACCACAAAGGUCUCCCCCGGCGUCGGUAGAGCAAGCACCGNAAAGAAAGAAUUAUGAGAAGGAAAGGAAGGAACAAAUAUAAAUAAAAAUAGAAAGAGAUAAAAGUAGAGAAAGAGACAUGAGCAAAAAGGAAAAGAAAAUGUAGAAGAGAAGAGUAAAGUAGAAGAGAAGGAAGAGGAAUAAGAUGGAAUUUGUGGGGAGAGAAAUAAUGAAAAAGAAAAGAAAAGAAAUCAGUCCCUUGGAAAAAAAAAA